AGUGAACGCUGGCGGUAGGCCUAACACAUGCAAGUCGAACGGCAGCACAGUAAGAGCUUGCUCUUACGGGUGGCGAGUGGCGGACGGGUGAGGAAUACAUCGGAAUCUACUUUUUCGUGGGGGAUAACGUAGGUAAACUUACGCUAAUACCGCAUACGACCUACGGGUGAAAGCAGGGGAUCUUCUGAUCUUGCGCGAUUGAAUGAGCCGAUGUCGGAUUAGCUAGUUGGCGGGGUAAAGGCCCACCAAGGCGACGCUCCGUAUCUGGUCUGAGAGGUUGAUCACCCGCACUGGGACUGAGACACGGUAAUGAAUAUUGCGGGAGGCAGCAGUGGGGAAUAUUGGAGAAUGGACGCAAGCCUGAACCAGCCAUCCAGCGUGGGUGACGAAGACCUUCGGGUUGUAAAGGCCUUUUGUUGGGAGAGAAAAGCAGCCGCUUAAUGCCCGGAUGUUUUGACGGUACCUAAAUAAUAAGCAACGGCUAACUUCGUG
rnacentral:rRNA from 1 species